rnacentral:rRNA from 1 species
UCCUACGGGAGGCAGCAGUGGGGAAUAUUGGACAAUGGGGGGAACCCUGAUCCAGCCAUGCCGCGUGUGUGAAGAAGGCCCUCGGGUUGUAAAGCACUUUCAGCGAGGAAGAACGCCUAGCGGUCAAUACCCGCUAGGAAAGACAUCACUCGCAGAAGAAGCACCGGCUAACUCCGUGCCAGCAGCCGCGGUAAUACGGAGGGUGCAAGCGUUAAUCGGAAUUACUGGGCGUAAAGCGCGCGUAGGUGGCUUGAUAAGCCGGUUGUGAAAGCCCCGGGCUCAACCUGGGAACGGCAUCCGGAACUGUCAAGCUAGAGUGCAGGAGAGGAAGGUAGAAUUCCCGGUGUAGCGGUGAAAUGCGUAGAGAUCGGGAGGAAUACCAGUGGCGAAGGCGGCCUUCUGGACUGACACUGACACUGAGGUGCGAAAGCGUGGGUAGCAAACAGGAUUAGAUACCCUGGUAGUCCACGCCGUAAACGAUGUCCACCAUCCGUUGGGUGCCUAGCGCACUUUGUGGCGAAUUUAACGCGAAAAGUCGACCGCCUGGGGAGUACGCGCCGCAAGUUUAAAACUCAAGUGAUUUGGACG